ensembl:lncRNA
CACAUACACACCCUUUAUAAAACAACCCAAUUAUAAUUCAUUCUGUAUAUGUAAUAAAUAUUAUUAAAUAUAGUAUUACCCUGGAUUAAUAUUUUAUUUAAUUAAUAUGAAGCUUUUUAACAGCUUUGGAAAAUAAAGGUCAUCUGAACAGUCUGAAGUCUUUGGAUGUUUGGAGCUAAUUGGUCAGAAAAAAAAAAGGCUGUCAGUUUUGCUUUCGGUUUGAAGGCGAGGCCGUGACCUGUGCGCCACAUCAGGACAUCCCAUUAAUAACCAGCGAAAUCCGCGAAGCAGCCAACUUAAUUUUUUUCCAAUUGUUAUAGACGUUUUAAGACUGUAACCCCCCCAAACCACACACUUUAUACACUUUUCUCAGACAGGCAUGAACAUUUACACACUUUUCUCUCUUGUUUAAACUCUCAAAGUUCAAACCUUCGUAGAAACAAAUAAGUCCAGUGUUAUAGAAUCAAAGUCACCCGCAGGAGCCUCUGACGCUGCAAAACGUUUCAUCGACAUUGUUGUGUUUGGUGGAGAAAACUUACAAACAUACAGUGCAGCACUUCAGAGUCACGCUGCCAGCGAGGGAAGAUUUAUGUAAAUUUGACAAGCUGAACGCAUUCUGUACUGCACAGGAGACACGGCACGAUUAUUUAUAACGGUCCGCAGCCAAUCAGGACGCAGAACACAAUGCGGGGUUUAAAAAAAAAGAACAAAAAAACAAAAACAAAAAAAUAGCCUAAACAUGGAAAGUUGCACGCGCACACACACAAAAAAAAUCCGCGAGACCGCGUUACAGCGACGGAUGACUGUGCAAACAAAGAACAAACACUUUUUUUUAAAAAUCUCCUAUUCACAAAGACACAUUUAUAACAUUAAUUUAUAAUUUAUAACAUCUAAGCUUCUGGUUGCAGUUCACUCACCACAGCAGACUAACACGCUCAGAGUCAGCCAGAGACAGGCGGACAGUAACGGGUUCAUCCUGGACGAGAGACACAAACUGGCAGAGAGAGAGCGUGGGAAUGAGAUCUGAGUCCUCUGACACUUUAAACAAAAACUUUAUUUUCCCACGAAACGAGUUUAUCUGUUAUCAGCAAGCCCGGACUCGUUAGGUGAGCCAAACACUUUCUAGAUGUGACAGUUACAUCAAACAUAAGGCUCGGGGGCCAGAAUUGGACCCCAAUCUGCCCUGCUGCUUAUGUGAAAAAGGCAUAAAUUUAAGUGUUUUCAUGAGUCGUACAGCUUUUACUAAAGAUGAAAAUCUACCCAACAGGCAUUCAUACUAGACUAUUGUGAACAGACAUACAAACAAGACAUGCUGUGGAAGAGAGCCAAUAAAAAUGCUCCCAGAAGCAGCGUUGCACAAAGCUGCAGACGACAGAAGCAAAAACAUCAGCAGCUGCAGGACAUGAUUCCAGUUGUUUGUCCAGUGAAAGCUCACUGAUACUCUGAGGAGGUCAUAUUGUUUCAC